GGCGCGGGACCCGUCUCUGGCUGGAGGGGGGCGAGCGGCCGGCCGGGCUUUGCCAACUCGCGCGCAUCGCGCGCCCCGGGUUGGUGUACGAGUGAGAACGAAAGUAAGAAAAGCGCCGGGGGGGUUUUGCAAAGCUCUGCCGCUGAGUCGCUUUGGGAAUGACUCGCUGCGAUGCUUUGGGAAUUCCUUCCCGCGCGGGGUGAGCGAAGGGGAAGUGCCGCGGCACGGCCGGCGUGGGAAAGCGUCCCUCUUCCCCUGCCUAAACCUGCGAGCAGCACCCCAGGCAAAAAACAAACCAAAGCGCAACAAAAAAAACCCAAAAAACCCCCCCCAAAACCCAGCGUGUUUAGUGCUUUGCUUUACCAGGAAUCUCUGAAAAUCCCCAGCCCUGCUUGUAAACAACAAUUCCUCCCGUCGUUGAAGAUGACGUACUUAAAAAGUGGUUUAGUUUCGCUGGGACCUACGCCUUUCAAACCAGCCGGCGCGACCUGGAUGUCCCGACUUUUCUAGCGACCAAAAUUCUGAUGCACGCAGGAGGAGACGCCAGCUGCCCGCCGCAGCGACCGUCGUUGCUACGACUGCACGGGGACACCCGGGAGCUUCCCGGAGAGAGGAAACUGGGGCUACCCAAAGGCCACGGGGAUGGGCACCCCUAGUCGCACCCAUGUGUGCCUCCAGCCCCGGGCUCGGCCCCGCAGCAGGAGGGGGGCAGAGGCGAAAACCGGUGCCCGAGUGAGAUGCUGCGUCCCUGCACGGCCCUGUACCAGCACCAGCACCAGCACCAGCACCAGCACCAGCACCAGCACCAGCAGGACGAGGAGGAGGAGGAGGAGGAGGAGGGGUGAUGGCAGAAGGGGAAGAGCAUCCCGGGGCUCUGCUCUCCCCUCUCCUGCAGCAGCCGCGCUGGCUGCUGACUCAUUUUUGGCCAGCGAGCCCACGCGAGGCGCAGCACCUCCUGCCGCCCCGCCGUUCCGUGGGGUUUUUUUUCCUUUCUUCUUCGUCAAACGGGUGCCAAGUUACCAAAACCCCUUGUCACGUGGCCUGCGACACGGCAGCCCCGCUUUCAUUUACUGGAACUGCACAGCCACGAAAAAACACAAGUUUCCAGCAGCCCAGCCGAGCCGCUGACGCUCUCGGAGGGCGCUGGGGCUGCGGGGUCCCAGGGACACCCACAGCCCCCUCCCCGCCAUCGGGGCUCGGACCAAGCACCCGCGGCUUCGAAGAGACACUCACCCAAACCGUGGCUCCUUCCCCGCAUCCUCCGGAGCCGGCGCCUGCGAUGGGGAGAGAGAACAUCAGAGCCGGCAAAGGGCCAGGGAAUCGCCUACGAAGGAACGAGAUCUUCGUUAGCGGUAACGGGAAUGCCGGACGCGGGACCAGAGCGGGACCCCGCGCGUGGACGUUUCGCCCCUUGGCCUCCAGGUUUACACCGGCGCGGUUUUGUGCCACGGGGUGGAAAUCGGCCGGGGCUUCGUGCCGCCUCGGACGCCGGUGGCGCGCGCCCGGGGCAGGAUGCUCAACCACGGGGGCUUUGUCCCAGGGAUUCAUCCCUUCGCUUCCCGCGCUUCCCCUUUUACGGGGCGUUUAACGACAAGGGUUUAAUAGCAGCUUCUCCGGGGAAAGCCCGAGCGUGCACGCUUGCUGCUUGAACACCGGUAAUGCUUAAAUAUCAAGCAUUAAUGGAAAUAACGGGGGGAAUGUCGGGGAAACAGAGGACAGACGGGCUUUCGCAUCCUUCCCCGGCCUGCGAGAGCGGUCCGUGCUGGGCGAAGGACGGCACGUGUCCUCGGGGCGGAUUAAAAAGCCCAUCAGGCAGAGGCACCGGCGUCCCCCCCUCGGCGCAGAGCCCCUCGCUUCCCGGGUGCAGGUCUGUCCUCCCGUGCCAAACCCCACGUGCGCCCCCCCCUCCCGUUUCCGACGCCGGCACGGAAAGCCGCGCGUGGAUCCCCUGCGCCUCCCGGACCUUGGCGAAUCCAUCCGACGUCCUACCUGGCUUCUCCCUGCCGCAGCUCCCAGCCCGGGACGUGCCGGCGGGUUUAUACGGCCCCGUCACCCCCCGCCGAGACGCAGGGACGGGAGAUUUUCCCACGGCCGACGGGCGCUCUCGAUUCCCCCGAAGCGGCCGGCUACACCCAUCGGGGGAGGCUCAGGGAUUUUUCCCAUCGGAAAGGGCCUUUGCUUGGAAAGGUCUCCUUUCCCAGGGCUUGCAGCCAAACCCACGGGGACUGCGGCAGCAGCAGGGAGCUGGGCAGGGGAUGGGCUGAGCUGCAGGCACCAAAAUCCACUGUCCCGGGGGGGGGCGGCGGGAGGCACCGCCGAGUGGCCCCCGACCCUUGGCAUCCCCAAGCUCUCGGGCACCUGGAUGCUCUUCCAGCCUGUCCGCCGGGAAACGCUCUGGUUUUUCUCCCCAUCCCCAUCAGGUGGGCUAAAAAUAGCUGCGACCUCCCUGCAGACCCCGUGGGGAAGGCUGCCGGCUGCCCCGCGGGUGAUGGGCACCGUCCCCGUUCCCCAGGGAACGGCUCCCACAGGCGCCCGGCCGAGGUGCUCGCCCGCUCCAAGCCCUUUCCCUCCCCAGCUGAGGGACCCUUUCCCUCCCUCCCGCUGCAGGGCGGGGGGCUCUUUCCCUACUCGUGUCCGUCCCCCCCCGUCGGUUUUUUGCCCCCCGCUCAAGUUCUCUUUGGCCUGAUUUUGGCGUGGCCAGGAGUACAGUUCUUAUGCGCUUCAAGAAACCGGAGCGACCCGAAAACGGCUUUCUGGCAGGUUUUGGCUCCCCGAUUCCGCUGGAGUGCGGAGAUGAGUCACGCGGCAGAGGGGCGUAACGUGGGGGCUGCUUGAAUCAGCCUGUCGCGAACUCACGCUAUUUAUCAAGAGGUGCUUUGCGACACCGGCUGCAGCGGCGGCCGGGAUCCGGUGGGGUUUGGCAAUGCCGGGCACGGCAGCCUCGCCGGGGCUCUGGCCGAGCGUCCCGGGGAGCAUCCCCCGUCGGUCCCUCGACGCCUCCAGCCGUGCGUCCCCCAGCAUCCCCACCGCUCGGUGGCAGCUUUAACCCUUCCAGCGCCGCUGCCGCCAGCUCCUAACCUCAGCUCCGCCGCUCUCGCUUCGGCGGCAGCCCCCCCGCCGCUCGCUCAGCGCCGGCCGUGCCCGAGGGAGCUGCCGCGGGGAUGGCUGCCGGCCGGUGCGCCGGCUUAUCUGAUGAGCGCGAGCGGCUGCGGGCCGGGGAGAACCACCAAAACACCAGCCCCUUUGUGGCCUCACCUGUGGCUUUCACCGAUUUCGCAUACGAGAAGCAAAAGUCACCGACACCGAGACGGUGGCGGCCGCUCCCUCGCCACGACGGCGGGUGAAGGAGGCCGCCCGCGGUGGUGACGCUUAUUGUAACGUACAGAGGGACCCUGCGGGUCCAUCGUGUGUUUCCACGCGUUGCCGCACGGCGCGUCGAACUGCUCCAUCCCCGCGGCCCCCCCCCCCGGGCUGUUUCACAUCCCGCCACCGAGCCUCGCGCUGUCGACAGGUGAAUUUAUCCGCAAUAAAGCACCGACGCUGCCGGCUCCCGCCCUCACCAGGAGCUUUUGGCUUUCCCCUCCUGCCCCGCAGGGCUGGGGCGGGGAGCGGGCGCCGCGCGAGCAGAGGGGGAAGCCGGGGAAAGGGCUCCCUCCUCCCUGAUUAUUUCAGCAUGCGGCCGCAGGAGCCCAGCGCUGGGAGCGACGCGCCGUUUCGUGGCCAACUUGGCUGGACCUCGAGGGAUCGCAAGCCCCCCCCCCCGAUGAAGCCAGGAGCUGCGGAGGGCUGGAGGCAUCGCAGCCCCACGCCGGCUACCCGGCAGCAGCGUCAAGCCUCUCGCUGGGCCGUGGCCCCUAACGCUUGGAUAUCGCCCCAAAAAACCCCAAGAGGAUGGGUGGUCUUCGAUCCAGCGCUCCUCAGGGACAUCCCUGGAGCUCGCCCCAGCAGAGCACGAGCCGGUGGGAAAUGUCCUACCUGCAGGGACGGCGGAAGAAAUCACUGCACGAGCAUCCCACAGGAGGAAGAGGAGGAGGAGGAAGAGGGCUGGCACAUGCCCACGUGGUCAGAAAACACUCGUCCCGCUCCCCUCCCACCUCCUUCCCCCCUGAAUAUUGCAACAAAAAUGGAAAAUGUUCUGGCAGUCAUUAGCAGCUCCCUGGAAAAAGCCGGUUUGCUGGCCCAGCUUCAAAACCCAGGUCGCCAGAAACUCCCCGACCUCUGCGGCAUGUGGCCGCGAGCUUCGUGGAAAGCCAGAGUUUUCUGCAAAAAGGGGGGGUGCGGGGGUUUUUUGGUAAUUUUUUUUGUCAUUGUCAAAAAAAUUCAAUUUUUUUCCUUCUAAAAAGAAAAGCAGCAGCCCCCAAACGGGUGGAAACCGUUCCAGCUGGGCCCGGGGCAGGGGGUAGCAUCAGCUGGCACCAGCCGCUCAGGGAAAGUGCUGCCUUCGCAGAGCUUCAGCCCUUGCAGCGCCGCGGGACGGGGAGAAAACCCGAUAGCUAGAGAAGAAAACUUGCCCCCCCCCCCCCCAAAAAAAAGAAAAAAAAAAGAAAA